GGCCGGGCGACGGUUGUCCCGGUUUAAGCGUGUAGGCUGGUUUUCCAGGCAAAUCCGGAAAAUCAAGGCUGAGGCGUGAUGACGAGGCACUACGGUGCUGAAGCAACAAAUGCCCUGCUUCCAGGAAAAGCCUCUAAGCAUCAGGUAACAUCAAAUCGUACCCCAAACCGACACAGGUGGUCAGGUAGAGAAUACCAAGGCGCUUGAGAGAACUCGGGUGAAGGAACUAGGCAAAAUGGUGCCGUAACUUCGGGAGAAGGCACGCUGAUAUGUAGGUGAAGUCCCUCGCGGAUGGAGCUGAAAUCAGUCGAAGAUACCAGCUGGCUGCAACUGUUUAUUAAAAACACAGCACUGUGCAAACACGAAAGUGGACGUAUACGGUGUGACGCCUGCCCGGUGCCGGAAGGUUAAUUGAUGGGGUCAGCGCAAGCGAAGCUCUUGAUCGAAGCCCCGGUAAACGGCGGCCGUAACUAUAACGGUCCUAAGGUAGCGAAAUUCCUUGUCGGGUAAGUUCCGACCUGCACGAAUGGCGUAAUGAUGGCCAGGCUGUCUCCACCCGAGACUCAGUGAAAUUGAACUCGCUGUGAAGAUGCAGUGUACCCGCGGCAAGACGGAAAGACCCCGUGAACCUUUACUAUAGCUUGACACUGAACAUUGAGCCUUGAUGUGUAGGAUAGGUGGGAGGCUUUGAAGUGUGGACGCCAGUCUGCAUGGAGCCGACCUUGAAAUACCACCCUUUAAUGUUUGAUGUUCUAACGUUGACCCGUGAUCCGGGUUGCGGACAGUGUCUGGUGGGUAGUUUGACUGGGGCGGUCUCCUCCUAAAGAGUAACGGAGGAGCACGAAGGUUGGCUAAUCCUGGUCGGACAUCAGGAGGUUAGUGCAAUGGCAUAAGCCAGCUUGACUGCGAGCGUGACGGCGCGAGCAGGUGCGAAAGCAGGUCAUAGUGAUCCGGUGGUUCUGAAUGGAAGGGCCAUCGCUCAACGGAUAAAAGGUACUCCGGGGAUAACAGGCUGAUACCGCCCAAGAGUUCAUAUCGACGGCGGUGUUUGGCACCUCGAUGUCGGCUCAUCACAUCCUGGGGCUGAAGUAGGUCCCAAGGGUAUGGCUGUUCGCCAUUUAAAGUGGUACGCGAGCUGGGUUUAGAACGUCGUGAGACAGUUCGGUCCCUAUCUGCCGUGGGCGCUGGAGAACUGAGGGGGGCUGCUCCUAGUACGAGAGGACCGGAGUGGACGCAUCACUGGUGUUCGGGUUGUCAUGCCAAUGGCACUGCCCGGUAGCUAAAUGCGGAAGAGAUAAGUGCUGAAAGCAUCUAAGCACGAAACUUGCCCCGAGAUGAGUUCUCCCUGACUCCUUGAGAGUCCUGAAGGAACGUUGAAGACGACGACGUUGAUAG
rnacentral:rRNA from 1 species